GUGGGGAAUAUUGGGCAAUGGGGGAAACCCUGACCCAGCGACGCCGCGUGAGGGAAGAAGGCCUUAGGGUCGUAAACCGCUGUUGUGUGGGAAGAAGAGCGUGACGGUACCACACGAGGAAGUCCCGGCUAACUACGUGCCAGCAGCCGCGGUAAUACGUAGGGGACGAGCGUUGUCCGGAUUUACUGGGCGUAAAGGGCGCGUAGGCGGUCAUUUAAGUCAGCUGUGAAAUGGUUUGGCUUAACCGGAUCAUGCGGUUGAAACUGGAUGGCGGGAGUGCUGGAGAGGCAAGUGGAAUUCCCAGUGUAGCGGUGAAAUGCGUAGAUAUUGGGAAGAACACCGGUGGCGAAGGCGACUUGCUGGCCAGCAACUGACGCUGAGGCGCGAAAGCCAGGGGAGCAAACGGGAUUAGAAACCCGUGUAGUCC
rnacentral:rRNA from 1 species